rnacentral:rRNA from 1 species
CGUACACUCCUACGGGAGGCAGCAGUGGGGAAUAUUGCACAAUGGGCGCAAGCCUGAUGCAGCCAUGCCGCGUGUAUGAAGAAGGCCUUCGGGUUGUAAAGUACUUUCAGCGGGGAGGAAGGCGAUAAGGUUAAUAACCUUGUCGAUUGACGUUACCCGCAGAAGAAGCACCGGCUAACUCCGUGCCAGCAGCCGCGGUAAUACGGAGGGUGCAAGCGUUAAUCGGAAUUACUGGGCGUAAAGCGCACGCAGGCGGUCUGUCAAGUCGGAUGUGAAAUCCCCGGGCUCAACCUGGGAACUGCAUUCGAAACUGGCAGGCUAGAGUCUUGUAGAGGGGGGUAGAAUUCCAGGUGUAGCGGUGAAAUGCGUAGAGAUCUGGAGGAAUACCGGUGGCGAAGGCGGCCCCCUGGACAAAGACUGACGCUCAGGUGCGAAAGCGUGGGGAGCAAACAGGAUUAGAAACCCGUGUAGUCCC